rnacentral:lncRNA from 1 species
UUUUUUUCCAAUUUUUUUUAUUAUGGCAAAAUACACAUAAUAUAAAACUUACGACCUUAACCAUUUUUCAAUUCUUACUGAUUUCUAUAAAAUAACAUUCACAGGUACAACGAAAAGCAUACCAUUUUUUUAUUAAAUUUCAUUUUUACUUAGACAAUAAACCUGUUCAUUUCUUUUUAUUAGACAUUGUUCUUCAAUCCAUAUCCAGCUCUCUCCCACUCCUCCCGGAAAUGAAGUUAAGACAGCUCAGCGCUUGGUUGAUUUUGCAGGGAAAUUACAAAAAAGGAGAAAAACUCUUCUUAAACUGUUCUAAGUUCUUUUUUUUCCUUUCAGUGUUUGAUUCUUUAUAGUCAGAUAGGCACACUAUCCACAGAAUUGCCAGUAGAAACCAGCAGUAAAAAGAAAAUAGAAUGCAUUGCCAGUUACAAUAAGAAUGAGGUCAAGGUCUGAAAUUCCUUAAAGUAAUGCUUUUCGGUUUCAUUAUAUUACAGAUUACAGAAAAUGUAUUAAGAAAAAAGAUGUGUAUCUGAAAUCAUAAUUAAUAAACACUGUCUUUUCAUUUACUAAGUAACACGUGAAUAAAUUAAACUUAAAACUACAACUUUCAACCAGCGAAUUUCUUUUCAGUUGAGCUAGUUUUGCUGGAGAAAAAAAUCUCAAAGGUCAGGGUUAUUUGGGUGCAAGUGUCAGACUUUCUUUUGCUCUAUUUUGUUGUUAAUGAUUUUUCAAAAGAACAAUAAAUAUAUACAUGUACAUAUAUAUUCUUGAAAGGAACUGCAUUCAGCAUUUUAGCAUGAACACUGUCAGGACAGAGCAAAACGGGGGCUUGUGUGUGAAAGAAGGUAGACAGUGUUGGAGAAUGUAGUCUAUGGGACUAGCUUUAGAGGUGAGAUUUUAAAAAAUUAAAAAACAAAACAAACAAACAAAAAUAGUUCUAGGGCAUCAGAUCAGCCUUUUCCCCUUUUCCCCGAGAUCCAGCCAUAAAAGGCCUCACCCUAAAUAAGCCCUGGGAAGAAGUAAGAAUACACCUCCCCAUUCUCCAUUUCCAGCCAUGGAAUUGUAAUCAGGAUCAUAAAUGUCUUCAAGACUGGGCAGCCAACAAAAAUAACCGAAACUGUUCUGUAUUUAAUAACACUUGGUGAUGCGGACUGUGGUAAACUGAAGACUCCACACCUGAAGGCCUUUAAAUUUAAAGAAAAAUAAGAUACCAUAUUAGCCAAACAAAACACAUCAACAGAGUAAACUCAGCUGUGAUUCCAUCCGUUUUUUCCUAAGACCUUCUCCUCACUCUCAGAUCCAAGUUUCUGAUGCAGUUCUCAUGGCCUGGGGAGGGGCUCCAACAGAAUAUGGCUUGAUGGGGAUCUUGGGAACUGGAGUCAGGGCCUCC